AUGGAAAAAAAUGAAGAGAGCAACGAAAAUGAAAAAACUCAUCAAUCAAAUGAUACUUCUAAUGGUGAACCAUUUUUAAACGAUGAUGAACAAAACAAAAUAAAUAUCCCAAAUUCUGAAAAAGAAGAAGAUGUUAAUAUGAGAGAUCCAAUUGAUACAAAUGAUAAUGCAGAUAUUAAUACUGAAUCUACUGAUAAUAUAAUUAAUGGUGACUUGAAUAAAGAAAAUGUUUGUUUGAAUAAUGAUAAAGAAUUAUGUGAUAUUUCAUAUGAUGAAAAUAACGAUGAUAAUAAUAAGGUUAAUCAAAUUGGUGAUAAGAAGAAAGAAUCGGAUAAUCAAUUGAUCGUAUCGAAUGAACAGUUUGAAGAAUACAAUGACAUAGCUUUAAAAUUGCAACCAUGGAAAAAAAAUAUAAAAUGGAAUAAACUUAAAAAGAUUUGGAUAUGUACCUAUUGGGAUAAUGAUGGUAAUGAAAUAACAAAACAUAUUUGUGUCAAAAAUAAAGAAGGGAUAGAAAUAGGAUAUAAUUAUUGUUUUAAAUGUAUACUGGAUUCGUUUGAUUAUUAUUUAUUAAAAAUAUUAAACAAAUUACCAAAGAUUGAUGAAAUUUCUUAUAGUAUUGAAAAAAUGUGUUUCAUACUUCAAUGUAAAAUUAAUAAGGAAGAUAUUGGUUGUAUUGAAAAUAUUGACAGUGGUAACUACAACAACGACAGCAAAAGCGAUGAAAAUGGGGGAAAGGAAGAAAACCGUAAAGAAGGUGAAAACGGCAAAGACAACGAAAACGGCAAAGACAACGAAAACGGCAANNNNNNNNNNGACAACGAACAAAUAGUCUACUCCUUUGAAGGAGGAAUAUAUUACGCUUAUUUAAAUUGCAUUGAACAUUUGAACAAACAAAAAAAAAACGAAAAGAGAAAACAAGAAAAAGGAGAAAUGCCUUGUAAUGACGAUGGUGAUGGUAAUGGUGAGGAUACUUUGUAUGUUGUGGAAGAAAAAAAUAAAAAUUUACUUUUAGAAUUAGAUGAUGUUAUUAAAGAUUUGAAUUACAUGGAACAUAAAAAAAGGCUACUACUAAACAGUGAGAAUAACAACAAUCAUAAUGGUAUUAUUAGUAGUAAUAACAAUUAUAAUUAUGUUAACACUUUUGAACAAACGAGAAUAGCACAUAGUAUAAAACCAUGGCAACAAGGGAUUUUAUGGGAAGAGAAUAUAAAAAAAUGGAUUGUAUUUUUUAAAGACAUAAACAAAAAUUUAAGAAUCAGUUGUUUUAAUCCAGUUGAUUAUAAUAAUGAUGUAAUACUAACUUAUAAUAAAUGUCUUGAAUAUUUUAAUUAUAUAAAGAAGUCUAAUAACUUUGGUGAAUACAUAGAGGAUUUUCCUGAAAUUAUUCAGAAUUUUUUAAAAAAUAUAAAAUCUAAUAAAUUAACAGACGAACAAAAAAAUGUGUCAAAUAAUACUACCACUACUACUGCUACUACUACUAAUGGUAAUAACAUGCAGGAACCUCAAAUGAUUUACUCAUAUUUAUCUUCGUUGUAUAAUAACAUGUCCAGUGUAAAUGGUACUUACAAUUUGUAUAACACAUAUAAUAACAACAUGAGUUCUAAUAAUGAUAGUACAAAUAAUGAUGAAUGUAAUUAUAAUUGUUUUAAUAAUUCCUGUAAUCAUAGUGUUAACAAUAGUGAUAGUAAUAAUGGUGGUAGUAACGAAAAAGGAAAAAGAAAGACAAGAGGACGUAGUAAAAAAAAUAAAUCCUUAGAUAAUAAUGAAACUUUAUUAUAUUCUCAUAAUAGUAACUCAGAUUUAAAAAGUAAAGGAAAUACUAGUACUAGUAUAUAUGAUGAUUCAACAAGUGACGAUUCGGUAUUAUUAAAUUAUAAAGAACAUAAAAAAAAAAGAAAAAGUCAAAAUAAAAAUAAAGACUUAAUAGAUUUUACAGAUGAAAAACAGUUAAGUCAAAACAACUUACUUCAAUAUCAUCAUAAUGAAUUUUGCAACAACAUGAAUAUUAUCAGAAGUAUGACAAGAAAUAGUAAUAACAAUAAUGAUAUUAAUAAUAAUAGUUCGAUAAGACAAUCAAAUGAUGAAAACAGCAACGAAAUGGUGACACUAUUCUCCCCUUUAAAUCAAGAAGAGCUUGAAAAUCUUAAUCCAUACAACGAAAAUAAUAAUAACGAAAUGUCAUUGCAUAGUGAAUUUGUUAAUGGUGAAAAACGGUAUAAAAUGGAUUACACAAAACUAGAAGGUCAAUUAAAAAAAAAAAGUAAACUAAAUAAUAAUAAUAAUAAUAACAGUGGGUUAGUAUAUAGUAAUAGUCCAUAUUCAAAAGAUGUAUAUAAUGGUUCUCAUGGUUUAUUAAAAAAUGUAAAAAAAGAAGUAAGUUGUGAUAACAAUUAUAUGUUAAAUGGUAUUAUAAACGGAAACAAUACGAAUGAAAAUAGAGACAGUGGUUUCUUUGGAAAUUAUAACAACGGAUGUAUUGAUUCGAGUAGUGACUUAUACAACGGAAUGAAUAAUAAAGAUAGAGUGUAUAAUGAAAAUAGUUUAAAAAAAGCUAAUGAUAUGAUGAAAGAAAUAGUAUAUAACGGUAAUAGUACCAAUAACCGACAAAGUAGUAAUAGUGGUGGAGUAGGUAGAAGAUCUAAAAAUAAUACUGAAAACAAAUAUUCAAAUAUAGAUAAUAAAGCCAUAAAUAAAAAUAAUGAAAAAAUAGAUGCUUUAAUUGAAAAUAAUACAAAUAUUAGAUUACCAAAAAAUGAAAUAUUAAAUCAAGCAUCUAAGUUACCAAAAUUACAAGGAAUGUUUUUUGAUAAACGACGAAAUUAUUGGACUGUUAGUGUCUGUGGUUUUCGUAAAUCAUUUGGUGUUAGAACCAGAGGAGUGUAUCAGGCAUAUAAACUGGCUGCUGAGUUUAGAAACCAUAUUUUAGAGACAACCAAAGGUAAAUGCUAUCCUCAAAAAUAUUCAAGUCUUGGAAGUAAUUUUAAAUAUAAUUCCAAAAACGGUGUUAAUACAACUGUUAAUGAUUCUACUGGUGCUGUGAAUUGUAACAAUGAAAACAACAAUAGCAGUAAUAAUGUUUCAAAAGAUGAAAAAACCAAUGUUCUUAGUGAUUGUUCUACUACCACUACUACAACUACUGCUGCUACUACUACUACUACUACUGCUGCUACUACUACUACUGCUACUACUACUACUACUACCACUACUACUACUGCUGCUACUACUACUGCUACUACUACUACUACUACUAUCACUAAUGGUAACGGACUUUUAUCAACACCAUUGGAAGAUGAAUAUAAAAAUAAAUCUAAUUUAAUAAAUAGUUUAAAUAGUAAUGAUAAAGAAUUAUUAUAUAAUACUAGUAAUACUAGUAAUGAAAGGAUGAAUAAUGUUAAUUUAAAAAAUAGUAAUAACAAAAUAAUAAACAAGACAUCUUCAAAUAUUUAUGAUUAUUAUAUGGAAAAAAAUAUACAAAAUAUAAUGAACAGUAAAAAUAAUAAUAUUAAUAAUAAGUUUAUGAAUAAUGAAAAUGCAACAAAUGGUACUAGUUUUGGGUUAUACGAUGAAAAUUUUAGUAAUAUGACAUAUGAUGAAAAAGUUGCAUAUAAAAAGAAUUUAUAUAAAUGUAAAAAUAGUAAAUCGAAAAACAAUAACAGUAUUGAAGAUACAGUUAUAUAUAAUAAUAGUAAUAGUACUUUUUAUAAUAGUAGUAGUAUUAGCAGUAUUGGUAGCUAUAGCAAUUCUCCUACUUUAAUUUAUGAUGAAGGUAAUAACAAUAGUAGUAGUACUAACACAGAUUCGAGUUUAAUUACUUUUUUUUAG
rnacentral:lncRNA from 1 species